rnacentral:rRNA from 1 species
AUUGAACGCUGGCGGCAGGCUUAACACAUGCAAGUCGAGCGGGGAAGGGUAGCUUGCUACCUGACCUAGCGGCGGACGGGUGAGUAAUACUUAGGAAUCUGCCUAUUAGUGGGGGACAACGUUUCGAAAGGGAUGCUAAUACCGCAUACGCCCUACGGGGGAAAGCAGGGGAUCACUUGUGACCUUGCGCUAAUAGAUGAGCCUAAGUCGGAUUAGCUAGUUGGUGGGGUAAAGGCCUACCAAGGCGACGAUCUGUAGCGGGUCUGAGAGGAUGAUCCGCCACACUGGGACUGAGACACGGCCCAGACUCCUACGGGAGGCAGCAGUGGGGAAUAUUGGACAAUGGGGGGAACCCUGAUCCAGCCAUGCCGCGUGUGUGAAGAAGGCCUUAUGGUUGUAAAGCACUUUAAGCGAGGAGGAGGCUCCUAUAGAUAAUACCUAUAGUGAGUGGACGUUACUCGCAGAAUAAGCACCGGCUAACUCUGUGCCAGCAGCCGCGGUAAUACAGAGGGUGCAAGCGUUAAUCGGAUUUACUGGGCGUAAAGCGUACGUAGGCGGCUAAUUAAGUCGGAUGUGAAAUCCCCGAGCUCAACUUGGGAAUUGCAUUCGAUACUGGUUAGCUAGAGUAUGGGAGAGGAUGGUAGAAUUCCAGGUGUAGCGGUGAAAUGCGUAGAGAUCUGGAGGAAUACCGAUGGCGAAGGCAGCCAUCUGGCCUAAUACUGACGCUGAGGUACGAAAGCAUGGGGAGCAAACA